GUCGCCGCAGACCGACCGCAAAGAAACGCCAAGGCGAAGGCAAGACUUCCGCUCAGUCACCAUUGGCAUGUCUUGUGAGCAAUUACGUAAUGGAAAAGAGACACUUGAGGCUGAUGAUUUUUCGUAUGUUGUUUACGACUCUUUGUGGUUAUAGAGGGCGGCUUUAAUACUUAAGGGGCGUGAAGUGUAAAUGGUUUCUUGUACAAGAGUCAAACUCGAGAGAUAACAAUUUUUACUAGUAAACAAAGUUGCUAUUGAAUUAAACAAAGACAGUUCGGUUUGUGUGUCAAAUCUGUACACCAAUAUUCAAGGGAUAUCCACUAGUACGUGUUCUUUCAGCGCGGAGAUGCACCGACUUCAUAAGAAAUUUCGAACGAAAAAAAUAUUUACGUUGAAAAAAAUAAUAAUGAGACUAAAUACUAAUAUAACUUUAAUGAAUUUAAAUAGUUUUCUACACUAUUAAUGUGUAGACAUAUCGUAAAUGGUGUAUUCGGGUCAACGUCAUUCAACAAUGUUUGAGAAGUGACAUUGUUUUUGUAAAGUAGUGUUGUAAUUAUAUGUACAUAUGUAAUUUAUGUACAUAGUUCUCCAAAGGUCCACAUCAAUUCAUAGGAAUGCAAAAUAUAUCGGAAUAUUUCACAUCACAUUUAGAUAUAAAUUUAUUAUUGUUAUAAUAAUAACUUACGUGAUUGUUCUGAUAUUACUCGAAAUUGAACACAUUGUACAUAUUUAUGGAGGUGGCAUGUGAAAAUCUUAUAUUUUGAAAUAACUAAAGAGAACAAGAAUUAAAUAACACAAGAAUUGAAUUUGUUUAUAUUUCCUGCUAGCUUUCAGCUUGCUAACCACUGUGAAGUACCAAUUCUGCUCAUACACAGCACAAUAAAGUAUGUGAAUGUGUGUGCAGGCAAACUCACAUAAAAAGACUCUAGCGGCAGCUGCAUUUGAUUUCAUGGGCACUGCUAUAGACUUAUGGGCUCAACAAGGAUAUACACACAUACAAACAAGUGUGUGAGUAUAUGCACAAGCAUGUGCAUCGAGAUUCCAGUCGAAGUCUAUAAGUAACAAGCUAUUGGCUAUAGGUGACAGAAUAUAUCGCACAGAACCUCUAUGCCAGCAUAUUUGGGAGGGAGGAUAAUGUGCUAAAGGGAAAUGAAGGAUACCGUAUUGAAGGUAAUAACUUUUGAGCAAGGGUGCGCGGAGGUUCUAAAAUUGAGAAGCGCUCAUACGAGUUUAUGCAUGUGGUGAGGGGAGAAUGUAAAGACGAAGUAAAAAUAAAAAGUAAAAAAAAAUUACAACAAACAUGCAUAAAUAUCUACAAAACAUUAUUGUUGCAACACACAAUUGCUUUGAAGAUUUGACUGAAAGGGGAUGAAAACAUAAUCGCAAAAUUUUGGCAACUUAAACAUUAAUAUACGAAGAUGACCUAUGCGUACAGUGGAAUAAACACUAUGUUUAAUGAGUAUAUAUAUAAUAUAAAGAAUAUGAGGACAUAAUAGUGUAAACCAAAAACGAUGAUUUAGGCAUACAUUUCAAGGAUGCAAAGAUGUAACCAGUGGACACUGCUAUUAUGGCUGCUAAGAAAUUAAAAUUUCGACUUGGGUUAACUAAUCGAAUGUUAAUCAAUUUGGUUUUAGAUUGCAAGCAAGAUCUCAAGAAUCGCACAAAUAGACCAAGAAUAUACAUAAUUUUAAAUUUGUAUAUUCACAAUUCUAUAAUUUUUAUACUUUGAACAGGGUAUAUUAAGUUUACCACGAUGUUUGUAACACCCCAAACGAAACGUCAGAGGCCCUAUAAAAUAUGUACUUAUGUACAUACAUAUGUACACUAGGCAUCAAAUGAAAGUAUCAAUGUAAACAAUAUAAUAAAUGCAACAUCAGAUCAUACAUUUACUUCCUACAUUUUCGCUUAAGAAUAAAUUCAUAAAGCAUUUUAUGUAGAUGCACCGUUAUAUAAAUAAACAGUUGGAGUAAUGUUUGCACUUAUUAUUUAGACGCAAAAAAUAUUUACUCCAUCGAGAGUGAUGAGUCUUCGCUGGUGAGCCUAUGAGUGCGCGUGAAAUGAAAGUAUAAUUUAAGUUUUGGUUCUUUUCUUUCAAGGUAAAACUGAAUUUUACUACAGAUUUAAUACAUUGCUAUUUAUUAAGGGAAGUUUUUGAAAAUUUUUUUGUUCUGUUCUUAGUAAAAAAUAUAAAAAAUUUAAAAGAAGGAUCUUAAUUGUAGAAGAUGGGAAGAAGGGUGGAACGUAUCAAAAAAUGUAUGAAAAAUAUUUUAUUUCGAUGAGAGAGGCAAGAAGAAAGAUUUUUGAAUACUCCAAGAGAAAAAGACAUACAAGACUCAAUACGGUGGAGGUCCAAAGUCUAAAAUUUCUAUACACGCUGAGCGACUUGUACGAAGAAAAGCUCCUGAAAACCUUGAAAUUUUAUCGCGGGAGUUGAUUGAAAGUUUUGGUUUGGAUGUUUCCAUUAGUACAAUGAAAAGAAAACUACAAACAUCUGGUUUUAAAAACUAUGUCGCAAAAAAAUGAUCUAUGUUUUCACUAAUUAAUAUUAUACAUAUAUUAGAAAAUUUGAUUCGGGUCAUGCCAAAACGUCUUGGAGUAAUAAUUCAGAAUAACAGAAUAAAGAAGGCAAUAUUAAUUACUAAAUUUACUUCAUACAUACUCGUACAUUCAUUUGACCACAUUUGUUUAAGAGUCCAUUUUUUUUUAAGUGGAACAAAAUUGUUUCUUCUAUUCCGGGAAAAAUAUAUUAAUUUAUAAUUUGUUACUUAAAUACCUUUGUAAAUGUAAUAUUAAUGUCUGAAUUAUUAAUUGUUUACUUUAAUUAAAAUGCAUUGAAAUAACGUCUAUGAAAUGAAUACUUUCAUUUGAUGCCUAGUGUAUAUGUACAUAUACAUAUGUAUGUACAUACAUACAUAAAUGAUCAGCAUAUCGGACUACUAUAGUCCAUACAAACAGAAUGAUAAAAUCAGAAUGAAGAUAUUUUUAUACAUAUCUGUGAAGGGCUUAGACAGAUAUAUUAUGAUUGCUAUAAAGGAAUUUUUACGUAAAUAAAAGUUAAUGCAGGAGGCACAAAGAAUAAAGCAUUCAAAAAUUGUUUAUAGCAAAAAGAUGAGUCUUGAAUAUAUUGAACACAAAUAUCACAAGAUAUACAUACAUACGUACUUAUGUAUAUAUAUACGGAUUAUUGGUACUAACUGUACCCAAACACACGCAGAAAUUAGGUUGGCCGAAUGGCUCUCAAGCUUUGUAUGCACCAGAUGUAUUUCCAAAACGAUGAAAGAAGCUUGAUCGGCGUUUUCAUCAGACAACAACAAUGAAGUUAUAUAAAAAACUACGAAUAGAGAGCAAAUAAAGAAACUGAAUAAAUGGAGAAGCAGAGAUCACCGUGACUCGUGCCAUAACAACAUUUUUCAGCAUUGCAUUGACUAACUGAAAAUAUCGUCUCGCCUUUAUAUGUAUGUAUAUAUCAGCACACGUAUUCUCGUACAAAUGUAAUUAAGUACUCGUAAUUGUCGUAUGCGGCUAGAACACAAAGUUUCACGAAUGCGAGUGUGAGUUUAAGGGUGGUUAUUGCUUAUCAUGCCGUGCCGAAUUAUCAAAGAAGGUCAUACCAUUAUCCUUGCAGGAAGCAUAUACAUAUGUACACACGUAAGUAUAGAUGUACACACAGCCAUGCAGAAAAUAUAUACAAUUGAGCCUGUUUUCCUCGCUGACGAUCAGCGAUAGUUGCUGAACCGCAGAGACUGUCGCCUGGCGCAAUGUGCGCUAUUGGAGAUCAUCGUAGGGUGAGUUCUAGACUGUGUUGGGUUCUUAUCUUGCAGAAAACGGUAUUCAUCCCUCGGCAAUGCGACUUCCUUAACAAAGAAAAAAUACACAUACAUACAUAUACAUACCAAUUUACGAAAAAAUAAAAAAAUUGUGAUAAAGGACAUCUGGAAAGCUUUGCUGCAACGGCAUUACAAGGCAAAAGAGGCAGAUGUCUUUCGUUUGCAUUGUCGUUGCUUAAUACUUCAUGAGAGUAAUAGGGGGAAAAGACUGCGCGUGCGUGGCAUGCGCUAUAGUGGGGUUGCUACUAGGUACUAGAAAAAUUUAAAAUGUUGCAGGAUCGAACUCCGUUCAAAUGUCUAUAUUAUAAUAUGUUAUAUUUUAUAUGCAAAUGUAUUGUAAAUUAACUAGUAUAAAUUUUUUGAUUAUAAAUAAUAAAUUAUUAAUACGCUGUUUUGAUGUAAAAGCCUUUAUUAUAAAGAA
rnacentral:lncRNA from 1 species